rnacentral:lncRNA from 1 species
CUGCGCACGCGACCUUGGUCCUGCGGCUGCCGCUCUGGGGCGAGGGGGCGGGCAGCGGCGUGCGCCCAAGCUGAUCGCUCUUCCCCCAUCGCCGCCGGGCGCCCUCGCACUCGCGGCGCUCUUUUCGCGCGAAGACAAGUGCACGGAAGGGGGCACGGCGAGGCGGUCUCGGAGGAGCAGCCACCGAAAGGGAAAGGAGAAGCCGCUUUGUUCAGACCGCACGAGAACCGCACGAUGCCGGGGAAGAGCAACACGGGAGGCUCCAAGGACAACGACCGAUGGAAGGUGAAGGCGAUUCCGUUUCCCCCGUCGGCGGAGAGGAGGGACACAGGCAAG